rnacentral:tRNA from 1 species
GGUAAGAUGGCUGAGUGUUUAAGCGGUGGCUUGUAGCUCCACAUACAGAGGUUAAAUCCCCCUUCUUAUCA